rnacentral:rRNA from 1 species
AUGGCUCUCCUCGACAAGGCUCGCUCUGCCUCCGAAGAAGAGGCAAGCCGUCGGCGCGACAUCGAGCGCAGCCGAGCGGAGGCCCGGCGAAAGGUGGAGCAGAUGGCGGAUACCGUGCAGUUCAACGACCCCUGGAUCCAUCACUCCGACGUGACCAAGUCCCCUGAGGAGCUGCUCCAAGCAAGACAGCAAGCUUGGCGUUAUCAAGCUCACCGCAUCGAGAUGGCUCGUCGACGGGACAUGAUGCAGGUCCACGGAUGUGUGCUCAAGUGA